GAGGUCAUAGCUCAACGGUCAGAGCACAUAGUUGAUAACUGUGGUAUGGUGGGUUCAAUUCCCCCUGAUCUUA